rnacentral:rRNA from 1 species
UACGGGAGGCAGCAGUGGGGAAUAUUGCACAAUGGGCGCAAGCCUGAUGCAGCCAUGCCGCGUGUAUGAAAAAGGCCUUCGGGUUGUAAAGUACUUUCAGUCGUGAGGAAGGUGUUAAGGUUAAUAACCUUAGCAAUUGACGUUAGCGACAGAAGAAGCACCGGCUAACUCCGUGCCAGCAGCCGCGGUAAUACGGAGGGUGCGAGCGUUAAUCGGAAUUACUGGGCGUAAAGGGCACGCAGGCGGUUAAUUAAGUUGGAUGUGAAACUCCCCGGGCUUAACCUGGGAAUGGCAUUCAAGACUGGUUAGCUAGAGUCUUGUAGAGGGGGUAGAAUUCCAUGUGUAGCGGUGAAAUGCGUAGAGAUGUGGAGGAAUACCGGUGGCGAAGGCCGGCCCCCGUCGGACGAAACGACGUGACGCUCAUGUGCGAAAGCGUGGGGAGCAAACAGGGAUUAGAUA